GAGUUUGAUUCUGGCUCAGGCCCNUUUNAAUAGCGGCAGGCCUAACACAUGCAAGUCGAGGGGUCANAGAGUAGCUUGCUACUGCUGACGACCGGCGCACGGGUGCGUAACGCGUAUACAAUUUGCCUUAUACUGGAGGAUAGCCCAGAGAAAUUUGGAUUAAUACUCCAUAACAUCAUGAAUUCGCAUGUUUUUAUGAUUAAAGCUUCGGCGGUAUAAGAUAAGUAUGCGUCCUAUUAGCUAGAUGGUGAGGUAACGGCUCACCAUGGCGACGAUAGGUAGGGGGCCUGAGAGGGUUGUCCCCCACACUGGUACUGAGACACGGACCAGACUCCUACGGGAGGCAGCAGUGAGGAAUAUUGCGCAAUGGAGGAAACUCUGACGCAGCCAUGCCGCGUGAAGGAAGAAUGUCCUACGGAUUGUAAACUUCUUUUAUUUGGGAAGAAACCUUUCUACGUGUAGAAAGCUGACGGUACCAAACGAAUAAGGACCGGCUAACUCCGUGCCAGCAGCCGCGGUAAUACGGAGGGUCCAAGCGUUAUCCGGAAUCAUUGGGUUUAAAGGGUUCGCAGGCGGUUCAUUAAGUCAGUGGUGAAAUCUCUCGGCUCAACCGAGAAACUGCCAUUGAUACUGAUGGACUUGAAUAUAGUUGGAGUAGGCGGAAUGUGUAGUGUAGCGGUGAAAUGCUUAGAUAUUACACAGAACACCGAUAGCGAAGGCAGCUUACUAAACUAUUAUUGACGCUCAUGAACGAAAGCGUGGGGAGCGAACAGGAUUAGAUACCCUGGUAGUCCACGCCGUAAACUAUGAUUACUCGAUAUUGGCGAUACACUGUCAGUGUCUAAGCGAAAGUGAUAAGUAAUCCACCUGGGGAGUACGGUCGCAAGAUNGAAACUCAAAGGAAUUGACGGGGGCCCGCACAAGCGAUGGAGCAUGNGGUUNAUUCGAUGAUACGCGAGNACCUNACNGGGCUUAAUGUAGUCUGACAAAUUGGAA
rnacentral:rRNA from 1 species